AUUAUACGUAUAAGAUAUCGAAGAUGGACUGGAAUUCGAAUCGAAUGUGUGAAAAAUUAAUGCCCGAAGGAGAAUCGUUCCUAAUAUUCACAACGAAGAAGCCUUCUGCAGCACGUUUUCAUCGCUGUAUUAUUUUCGCGAGGAAACAACCAUGUAUUGGAAGAAAUUCAUAUUUUGUUGAUGAUUUAUAAAAAGAUAUUCGUCGGGUAUUAUGGAGAAGCACGACGUGUCGAGGAGUAGAAGACGACGAUAGUGAGAAGGCGUCAUUCCGCGACAGUCACACAUCGCAAAUGGACGAACAUGAUAUAAAAGCGGCCGAAUGUACUCUGCCGAGUACUGUAAGCGAGAGAAGGCAGCACAGUGUUGCUGCCAUCUGUUAGCAGGUUCUUAAAUCAUGUCCAUCGACUCAGAUUCACUAUCCGAAGAAAAAAGUAUAUUCCGUCCUUUUACCCGCGAAUCGUUGCAAACUAUCGAACAACGAAUCGCCGAAGAACAUGCUAGACAAAAAGAACUCGAAAGGAAACGAGCCGAAGGACAGAUUCCUCAGAGGAAAACAAAAAAAGAAGCACGAUACGAUGAAGAAGACGUUGACGAAGGUCCACAACCUGAUGCUACUCUCGAACAAGGUGUCCCGUUGCCAGUCAGAUUACAUAAUCAGUUUCCAGCCGAAUUAGUAUCGGUUCCUUUAGAAGAUAUCGAUCCGUUUUAUCAUAAUCAACGAACUUUUGUAGUUAUAAGUAAAGGUAAGGAUAUAUUCAGGUUCAGCGCCACGAAUGCUUUAUGGGCGCUGGACCCGUUUAAUCCGAUCAGAAGAGUUGCCAUCAACGUGUUAGUUCAUCCUUUAUUUUCCAUUAUCAUCAUCAUGACCAUUUUAACGAACUGCGUGCUCAUGGCGGUGCCGCCGAAUCCUACCAUCGAGUCGACCGAAGUUAUUUUUACGAGUAUUUAUACAUUCGAAUCAGCGGUGAAAGUAAUGGCCCGAGGUUUUAUAUUAGAAAAUUUCACAUACCUUAGAGACGCUUGGAAUUGGCUAGAUUUUGUUGUAAUUACAUUAGCUUAUUUUACUAUGGGAAUAGAACUCGGAAAUUUAGCAGUUUUGAGAACAUUCCGUGUCUUGAGAGCAUUGAAGACUGUAGCUAUUGUACCAGGACUGAAAACCAUCGUCGGUGCAGUAAUAGAAUCUGUGAAAAAUCUCAGGGAUGUAAUUAUUUUAACUAUGUUCUCACUAAGUGUGUUCGCGUUAAUGGGAUUACAACUGUAUAUGGGCGUUCUGACACAAAAAUGCAUAAUGAAAUUUCCCGAAGACGGUUCAUUUGGUAAUUUAACGGACGUUUCUUGGUUUCGAUGGUGUUCGAAUGAUUCACACUGGUUCGGCGAUUACAAUAAUUAUCAACUUUGUGGAAAUGCCACUGGUGCUGGGCAAUGCCCUCCGGAUUACAUUUGCAUGGCUGGAUUCGGCACUAAUCCGAAUUACGGCUAUACUAGCUUCGAUACUUUCGGUUGGGCUUUGUUAUCAGCCUUCAGGCUAAUGACGCAAGAUUUUUGGGAGAAUUUAUAUCAACAAGUUUUACGAGUUAUGGGUCCAUAUCAUAUGUCAUUUUUUAUAAUUAUCAUAUUUCUCGGUUCGUUUUACCUCGUGAAUUUGAUUUUGGCCAUUGUCGCGAUGUCGUACGACGAGUUGCAGAAAAAAGCCGAAGAAGAAGAAGCAGCCGAAGAGGAAGCCAUUCGACAAGCCGAACAAGCCCAGUUGGACAGAGAACAAAAGAAAGCUGCUCACGAUAACAGAGUAGCCGAGAGAGCUGCGGCAGCUGCGCAUGCUGCUGCAAAUCCUACCAUCGCCAAAUCACCAUCCGAGUACUCUUGCCAUAGUUACGAACUGUUCGUUGGCCAAGAGAAAGGCACUAGUAUCGAUGACAAUAAAGAAAAAAUGAGCAUACGCUCGGAUACGCUCAGCCAAGGGAAACACUCUUUGCAAAGCAAUAAAAUUCGUAAAGUUAGUGCGACCAGUUUAAGUCUUCCUGGAUCACCAUUUAAUUUAAGACGAGCUUCACGAGGUAGUCAUCAAUUCACUCUGCGAAGUAGCAGACCGAGGUUUCCCGCUGCCUCCGAUACCAGACCUUUAGUUCUUAAUACCUUACUAGAUGCUCAAGAUCAUUUACCAUACGUGGACGACUCGACGGCAGCCACGCCCAUGAGUGAAGAUAAUGGAACUGUACUGAUGCCAUCGUAUUUUAUGAACCUCGGUACCAGGCAUAAUUCCUAUACUUCGCAUACGUCGCGUAUUUCGUACACGUCCCACGCGGAUUUAUUCAAACAAUCCGCAGCUCCUACCAAGGAAAGUCAACUCAGGUCGAGAUCCGCCAAAUACAGCUCUUCGUCCGAUUACAAGUUUCUUAGUAAGGAAUAUGAUGUUUCGUAUACGGAGCAAGAAGAACCAACUUGUUCGGAUAAACCAAAAUGUCAAGAUGUUGAAGUGCCUCAACAACCUUUGGUUGAUAUGAAAGACGUGAUGGUGUUGAAUGACAUCAUAGAGCAAGCAGCAGGUCGACAAAGUCGUGGCAGUGAUAUACAAGUUGCCACAACGUAUUACUUCCCGACAGACGAAGAGGAAGAAGAGCCGACCGCCAAGGAGAAGAUGCUGAUGCUGUGCGUGAAGGGGAUCGAUUUUUUUUGCGUUUGGGAUUGUUGCUGGCUUUGGCUCAAGAUACAAGAAGGUGUUUCGCUGAUUGUGUUCGAUCCAUUUGUCGAGCUUUUCAUCACGUUAUGCAUCGUGGUGAAUACAUUGUUCAUGGCGUUGGAUCAUUACGAUAUGGAUAAGGAUUUGGAGAAGACGCUGAAAAGUGGCAAUUACUUUUUUAGCGCUACUUUUGCUGUGGAAGCUACGUUGAAGUUGAUGGCGAUGAGUCCCAAGUUUUAUUUUCAAGUCGGAUGGAAUAUAUUUGAUUUUAUUAUCGUGGUGUUAUCUUUGGUGGAAUUUUGUCUGGAAGGUGUUCAAGGUCUUUCGGUAUUGAGAUCUUUCAGAUUGUUGAGAGUAUUUAAAUUGGCGAAGUCGUGGCCAACGUUGAAUUUGCUGAUUUCCAUCAUGGGCAGAACUAUCGGCGCGUUGGGUAACUUGACGUUUGUAUUGUGUAUCAUCAUAUUCAUCUUCGCCGUCAUGGGUAUGCAGUUAUUCGGCAAGAAUUACAUAGAUAAUGUGCAUUUCUUCCCCGACCAAACCUUACCAAGGUGGAAUUUCACCGACUUCAUGCACUCUUUCAUGAUUGUAUUUCGAGUACUUUGCGGAGAAUGGAUCGAGUCGAUGUGGGAUUGUCUGCUCGUAGGCGACGGAGAUGUAUCGUGUAUCCCAUUUUUUCUAGCUACCGUUGUGAUUGGAAAUCUUGUGGUGCUUAACCUUUUCUUAGCCUUGUUGCUCAGUAACUUCGGUUCGUCGAAUUUAUCAGCUCCUACGGCGGACAGCGAUACCAGCAAAAUAGUCGAAGCUUUCGAUAGGAUAGGUCGUUUUGUGAAUUGGAUCAAAACGUCAAUAUUCAGAUGUCUGAAAGCGAUCAGAAACAAGAUAACUAAUCAGAUAUCUGUCCAACAAGCACCGAAUGAGCCGUGUAUAAAUUAUAAUUGGAAUCAAGCGAAUGAAAUAUUGGCCGAUGGUAUGUUGUAUCAUGAUAAAAAAGAUCAACUGGAGGUCACUAUUGGUGAAGGAAUGGAGUUCACAAUUCAUGGUGAUAUCAGAAGUAGGUUAAAAGGAAGACGCUCAAUCGUUUGCAAUAAUAUUGGCAAUCAUAAAGACAAUCGUUCCGAUGUAGAAUAUAUAAAAAAUAAAUACGAUCACGAUAAUAUAAGUAAUAAAUCAUACGGAAGUCAUAAACAUCGUUCGUAUAAGAACGAGAGUCAUAAAGGAAGCUAUGAGAGUAACCUGCACGGUGAAGAGAAGAAAGACGCUAGUAAAGAAGACGUAGGCCAUGAAUUAGAUGACGGAGGUGGCGUAGAUGACGCGGCAGCUGCCGAAGAAAAAGUUAUCCCUAAAGUGGAAGCUUUAGGCUUAGAACCAGACUCCGAAGAGUUACUCGAGUACCCGUCGGAUUGCUUUUCGGACGAUUGUUAUCGCAGAUUUCCGUUCUUGUUGGGCGACGAAGAAUCGCCUUUUUGGCAAGGAUGGGGUAAUUUGAGAUUGAAAACGUUCCAGUUGAUCGAAAACAAGUAUUUCGAGACGGCCGUUAUAACGAUGAUUUUGCUCAGUAGUUUAGCACUAGCUUUAGAAGAUGUACAUUUGCAAUCAAGACCAAUUUUACAAGAUAUUUUAUACUACAUGGAUCGAAUUUUUACCGUUAUAUUUUUUAUUGAAAUGUUAAUUAAAUGGUUAGCCUUAGGAUUUAGGAAAUACUUCACGAACGCUUGGUGCUGGUUGGAUUUUAUCAUCGUAAUGUUGUCGUUGAUAAAUUUGGCCGCAAUUUGGCUCGGCGCUGCCGACAUACCUGCAUUCCGAUCGAUGAGAACGCUCCGAGCUCUGCGUCCUUUGAGAGCGGUUUCCAGAUGGGAGGGCAUGAGAGUGGUAGUGAAUGCUUUGGUGCAAGCCAUUCCUAGUAUAUUCAACGUGCUAUUAGUGUGUCUGAUAUUCUGGCUUAUAUUCGCCAUCAUGGGAGUGCAACUUUUCGCUGGAAAAUAUCACAAAUGCGAGGAUGAAAAUGGCAACAAACUAGACCACGAGAUUGUUCCAGACAAGGCAACCUGCGAACGAGAAAAUUACACGUGGCAGAAUUCGCCGAUGAAUUUCGAUCACGUGGGUAAAGCGUAUCUGUGUCUUUUUCAAGUGGCCACGUUCAAAGGAUGGAUACCGAUUAUGAAUGACGCGAUAGAUUCAAGAGAGCUUUAUAAGCAACCGGUUUACGAGACGAAUAUUUACAUGUACCUUUAUUUUGUAUUCUUUAUCAUCUUCGGUUCAUUUUUUACCCUUAACCUGUUUAUCGGAGUAAUUAUCGACAAUUUUAACGAACAAAAGAAAAAGGCAGGAGGAUCUUUGGAAAUGUUCAUGACUGAGGAUCAAAAGAAAUAUUACAACGCGAUGAAGAAAAUGGGCUCGAAGAAACCCCUCAAAGCUAUUCCAAGGCCUAAGUGGAAACCACAACUUAUAGCAUUCGAUAUCGUGACUGAUAAGAAAUUCGAUAUGAUUAUCAUGUUGUUCAUCGGUUUGAAUAUGUUGACGAUGACGAUGGACCGGUACAGGCCUUCGAAAGUGCUGGGUGACACUUUGGAAAUGUUGAAUACGAUUUUCAUCGUGAUAUUUUCGACCGAAAGUCUUCUGAAGAUAUUCGCCUUACGUUAUCAUUAUUUCAAAGAGCCUUGGAAUUUAUUCGAUUUCGUCGUCGUGAUUCUUUCCAUUAUUGGUUUGGUGCUGAGUGACAUCAUAGCCAAGUACUUCGUAUCGCCUACCCUGCUUCGAGUCGUUAGGGUGGCGAAAGUGGGUCGUGUGUUGCGUUUGGUGAAAGGAGCUAAAGGAAUACGAACGUUGCUUUUCGCUUUAGCUAUGUCUCUUCCAGCACUUUUUAAUAUUUGUUUACUACUAUUUUUAGUCAUGUUUAUAUUCGCCAUUUUCGGCAUGUCGUUUUUCAUGCAUGUUAAAAAUAAGAGCGGAAUCGACGACGUUUAUAAUUUCAAAACGUUCUGGCAAUCGUUUAUAUUACUUUUUCAAAUGUCCACCUCGGCUGGUUGGGACGGUGUACUGGACGGUAUAAUUAACGAGGAAGAUUGCGAUCUACCAAAUAUGGAAAUGGGAUCACCGGGAUCGUGUGGAAACGCCACUAUCGGAAUCACCUUCCUGCUAUCGUAUCUUGUGAUCAGUUUCUUGAUCGUUAUCAACAUGUAUAUCGCUGUCAUUUUGGAGAACUAUUCGCAAGCCACCGAAGAUGUGCAGGAGGGAUUGACUGACGACGAUUACGAUAUGUAUUACGAAAUAUGGCAACAGUUCGAUCCGGACGGCACUCAGUAUAUUCGAUACGAUCAGCUAUCUGAUUUCUUGGAUAUCCUGGAACCUCCUUUACAGAUCCAUAAGCCGAAUAAAUACAAAAUCGUUUCUAUGGAUAUUCCUAUUUGUAAAGGAGACCGGAUGUUCUGCGUCGAUAUUUUGGACGCUUUGACCAAAGACUUCUUCGCUCGAAAGGGUAAUCCAAUCGAAGAAGCGGUGGAAAUAGGUGAAAUUCAAACCAGACCCGACGAAGCAGAUUACGAACCUGUUAGUUCAACGUUAUGGAGACAACGCGAAGAAUACUGCUCCCAAGUCAUCCAAAACGCCUGGAGAAAGUAUAAAAACAUCCCCUUAGGGGCUGGGUCUCUGCCUACAGCGCCUGAAGACGAAGCUGAAGCUGAAGCGCCAGAAGGCGAACCUUCGGAGUUACCCGAUGGUCAAGAAACCGCCGUGCUGGUUGAAAGUGACGGCGUUUCUAUCAAAAACGGACACAAAGUAGUGAUUCAUUCGAGAUCUCCUUCGAACGCUUCUGGACAAGCUGAGGUUUGAGAAUACCUUCGUUAUCUCGUGUACUCGUUAGCUGUUCAUGUCGUCGCAUUCUAGGAACAAGAAAAAGAAACACUUCCGUGACGUAUCUAACAACCUGUUAUAAUCAAUUCGGAUAUGUCGUAGCUUCAAUUUUUUCUUCCCUACAGCUGGAUCGUACUGCCUUCUAAAGGGUCAAAAAUAUUUACAAAAAAAAAAAAAAAAAAAAAAACACAAUGUGAUAACAAUUCACUUUUUCUUCAGCACAAUUUGUACUUCAAUGUUAUUACGCUGAACUCAUAUGAUUGUGCGUUUUAGGAAUUUUAUUAAUUGUUACGGAUUUUAGACAUUUUUUUUUUUAAAUUGUUAGCAAUUUGAAUGCAUUUUAAUUUAUUUUAGCUUAUAAGAAUUAUUUAUUUGUUUGUUUAUAUAAAUAUUUGCAAUAAUUUGUUAAAGUUUUGAAAAAAAAAAUCACCAUGUUAUUUUAAAUUUUGUGAUAAUACCUACUCGACGCUGUAAAAUCAAUCUUAAGUAUAACGUUACCAAAUUGGCAAUAUUUCCUCACCGUCAAUGUGUAACGGUUCAUUUGCCUUGCCAUUUUUAUUUUUGUUUGUUUAACGAAUUUUUAAUUUCAAAUUCGUAACAAUAAUUCUCUACAUUUUUUUAUCAUUGUAAUUGUUACUUAUACUAACAACAAUAAGUUACGUUUUUUUCAUUUGUUUGCUAUUUUUCAUUAAAUACGAAUUUGAUACGAA